CUUCACCUGGGGAUUGCAAAGGAAGUGAGAACAUCCCUGAGCAAGACCAAAAAUUGCUGAAUAAACACAAACCCCCUUGAGAAUCACGCCAACAGGUGCUGCCUCUUCACCUGGGGAUUGCAAAGCCUCACCGCCAUGGACAGCGUGCCCCUCAUCUGUGACUACGGCUCUGGCUUCAGCAAGGUGGGAUUUGCAGGAAUGGAAAGCCCAAUGGGCGUGUUCCCCACUGUCCUCGGGAAACUUCAGCACGAUAAUGUAUUGCUGGGGAUGGAAGAGGAAGACUAGUUCAUUGGAGAGGAGGUUCAGAAAAAACGAGGGAAACUCAACCUGCAAUACCCCAUUUCUCGGGCAACAACAACCAACUGGGACAACAUGGAGAAGAUUUGGCAUCACUCCUUCUACCAGGUGCUCCACGUCGCCCCAGAGCAGCACCCCAUGUUGGUGACGGAGCCGCCUUUGAACACAACACCCAGCAAAGAGAAAGUCAC